GACGAACGCUGGCGGCGUGCCUAACACAUGCAAGUCGAACGGAGUUCCUUCGGGGACUUAGUGGCGAACGGGUGAGUAACGCGUGAAGAACCUGCCUUUCAGUGGGGGACAACAGUUGGAAACGACUGCUAAUACCGCAUAAUGUUAUUUGAGGGCAUCCUCGGAUAACCAAAGGUUUAUUGCUGAAAGAUGGCUUCGCGUCUGAUUAGACAGUUGGUGGGGUAACGGCCUACCAAGUCGACGAUCAGUAGCCGGACUGAGAGGUUGAACGGCCACAUUGGGACUGAGAUACGGCCCAGACUCCUACGGGAGGCAGCAGUGGGGAAUAUUGGGCAAUGGGCGCAAGCCUUACCCAGCAACGCCGCGUGAGGGAAGAAGGUUUCGGAUUGUAAACCUCUGUCCUGGGGGCGAAGAAAGUAGACGGUACCCCGGGAGGAAGCCCCGGCUAACUACGUG
rnacentral:rRNA from 1 species